GAUCAUGGCUCAGGAUGAACGCUAGCGACAGGCUUAACACAUGCAAGUCGAGGGGCAGCAUAGAAGUAGCAAUACUUCGGUGGCGACCGGCGCACGGGUGAGUAACGCGUAUGCAACCUACCUAUCAGAGGGGAAUAACCCGGCGAAAGUCGGACUAAUACCGCAUAAAACAGGGGCACCGCAUGGUGAUAUUUGUUAAAGAAAUUCGCUGAUAGAUGGGCAUGCGUUCCAUUAGGUAGUUGGUGAGGUAACGGCUCACCAAGCCGACGAUGGAUAGGGGAACUGAGAGGUUGGUCCCCCACACUGGUACUGAGACACGGACCAGACUCCUACGGGAGGCAGCAGUGAGGAAUAUUGGUCAAUGGGCGGGAGCCUGAACCAGCCAAGUCGCGUGAAGGAAAGAAGGAUCUAUGGUUCGUAAACUUCUUUUGCAGGGGAAUAAAGUGCAGGACGUGUCCUGUUUUGUAUGUACCCUGAGAAUAAGGAUCGGCUAACUCCGUGCCAGCAGCAGC
rnacentral:rRNA from 1 species